GGCAGUGCAACAUAGUGGUUUGAGUGUUGGACUAUGACUCUGGAGACCAGGGUUCGAUUCCCAGCUCAGCCA